GACGAACGCUGGCGGCGUGCUUAACACAUGCAAGUCGAACGCUGAAGCUCAGCUUUUGUUGGGUGGAUGAGUGGCGAACGGGUGAGUAACACGUGAGUAACCUGCCCCCUUCUUUGGGAUAACGCCCGGAAACGGGUGCUAAUACUGGAUAUUCACUGGUCUUCGCAUGGGGGUUGGUGGAAAGGGUUUUUCUGGUGGGGGAUGGGCUCGCGGCCUAUCAGCUUGUUGGUGGGGUGAUGGCCUACCAAGGCUUUGACGGGUAGCCGGCCUGAGAGGGUGAACUGUCACAGUGAGACUGAGAUACGGCCCAGGCUCCUACGGGAGGCAGCAGUGGGGAAUAUUGCACAAUGGGCGCAAGCCUGAUGCAGCGACGCUGCGGGAGGGAUGGGGGCCUUCGGGUUGUGAACCUCUUUCGCACAUGGUCAAGCCGCAACAAUGGUUGUGGUGAGGGUAGUGGGUAAAGAAGCGCCGGCUAACUACGUG
rnacentral:rRNA from 1 species